rnacentral:rRNA from 1 species
GGGUGCCUACGGGGCGCAGCAGUGGGGAAUAUUGCACAAUGGGGGGAACCCUGAUGCAGCAAUGCCGCGUGGGUGAAGAAGCACUCCGGUGCGUAAAGCCCUGUCAGCAGGGAAGAAAAUGACAGUACCUGACCAAGAAGCCCCGGCUAACUACGUGCCAGCAGCCGCGGUAAUACGUAGGGGGCAAGCGUUAUCCGGAUUUAUUGGGUGUAAAGGGUGCGUAGACGGGAAUGCAAGUUGGUUGUGAAAUCCCUCGGCUUAACUGAGGAACUGCAACCAAAACUACAUUUCUUGAGUGCUGGAGG